rnacentral:rRNA from 1 species
UUGACCUCGGGAUCAGGUUAGGAAUACCCGC